AGCACUUUGUAUAUGUGUGUUUGUUCAACUAGUGGACAAAUGCAUGAAAGACAGGUACAAAAAUAAAUCCUCUUUAGUAACCCAGGAUUCAUUGUUCAGUAUGAGUUUUGAUACAUUCAAGAAGGAAUAUG
rnacentral:snoRNA from 1 species